rnacentral:rRNA from 1 species
AUUGAACGCUGGCGGCAUGCCUUACACAUGCAAGUCGAACGGUAACAGGUCUUCGGAUGCUGACGAGUGGCGAACGGGUGAGUAAUACAUCGGAACGUGCCCAGACGUGGGGGAUAACGAGGCGAAAGCUUUGCUAAUACCGCAUACGAUCUAAGGAUGAAAGCAGGGGACCGCAAGGCCUUGCGCGUUUGGAGCGGCCGAUGGCAGAUUAGGUAGUUGGUGGGAUAAAAGCUUACCAAGCCGACGAUCUGUAGCUGGUCUGAGAGGACGACCAGCCACACUGGGACUGAGACACGGCCCAGACUCCUACGGGAGGCAGCAGUGGGGAAUUUUGGACAAUGGGCGAAAGCCUGAUCCAGCAAUGCCGCGUGCAGGAUGAAGGCCUUUGGGUUGUAAACUGCUUUUGUACGGAACGAAAAGGCUCUGGCUAAUACCUGGGGCACAUGACGGUACCGUAAGAAUAAGCACCGGCUAACUACGUG